AAAGGGUGCGCAGGCGGAUUUUUAAGUCAGGGGUGAAAUCCCGAGGCUCAACCUCGGAACUGCCUUUGAUACUGGGGAUCUUGAGUCCGGAAGAGGUGAGUGGAACUGCGAGUGUAGAGGUGAAAUUCGUAGAUAUUCGCAAGAACACCGGUGGCGAAGGCGGCUCACUGGUCCGGAACUGACGCUGAGGCACGAAAGCGUGGGGAGCAAACAGGAUUAGAUACCCCUGU
rnacentral:rRNA from 1 species